CUUCUUCAUCGAUUGUAACUCAAUUUUUUUGGAGAUGUUCCUCCCAUUUCACUCAAACUUGUUGAUUUUGGGGGACUGAAAGACAAGUGCCUGAUCUACACUCCAACCAAAGCAAAAGGUUUGGAGGCCGCCUCAAGGUAUACCAUCAGUGGUUUGCAAUCACCUUCUUGGUGAUAUUUCAACGAGAAGAAGGCCAGAAGUCGAUGGGAGGUCGACACAGCGUCUGUUCCCCUGCCGUGCCUGCACCCAGCAGGGCCUCUCACCAGGCUCAACUUCGCCAGA